rnacentral:rRNA from 1 species
UACAGAGGUCCCAAGCGUUGUUCGGAUUCAUUGGGCGUAAAGGGUGCGUAGGCGGUCGCGCAAGUCGGAUGUGAAAUCUCAGGGCUCAACCCUGAAACUGCAUUCGAUACUGCGUGGCUAGAGUGCUGGAGAGGAGACUGGAAUUUACGGUGUAGCAGUGAAAUGCGUAGAUAUCGUAAGGAAGACCAGUGGCGAAGGCGAGUCUCUGGACAGCAACUGACGCUGAGGCACGAAGGCCAGGGGAGCAAACGGG